GGUCUGCUUGUUUUAUUCUUUGAUGUAGUAGGGUGUGGGGUGGUUGUGUUUACCACUGUUCAAAUUUAUACCAUCUCUGGAUGAGUAUGAAUCUACACUGAACCUACAGUAGUGAAGAUUACAAAUACCAAUUGCAGAAAACCCACCGUCACAAUUUUUUUUUUAAAAAAAAAAAAAAUCAACAUGCAUUCAAUUUUGAAUUUGCACUAGCCCAGACUUUUAUUUUGUCCUCUUUAGCAGGUAUAGCCAUUCGGAUUGGUAGGGUCCUUGAUGUGGUGAAGCGGUAGGAAAACACCUAAGCUUGUAUGGACAAAAGAUACUCAUGAGGAUGGAGGACAAGGUAAGGAUGAGGAACACGAAGAAGAGUUGGGAAGAGAUGAAGAUGAUGAUGAUGAGGGAGAUGAAUAAGAGUCGGGAACAGAAGAUGUUGUAGACGGAGAUGAAUUUUUUAAGGAGCCUUGACCUUGGCCUUUUCAUUGUUUUUGUAGUUGAAUAUGCUAAUUUGUUUUGUGGUUGUCCCAAUUUGUUUAUGAACACUUUUUUCUUACUUUCGGGAGUUUAGUAUGAUAUGUUUUGUGUAUACAAAAAAUUUUAUGGUUGGUGUUUUGGUAAAUAUGACCACACCAGGUUGUUUAUUGUUUGAAAUAUUGUAGUAAAUUGCCUUUUUUUCCUUCUAAAUUUUUGAAAAUUGUCAAUGAAGAUAAGUUGCUUGAUAUU